UCCAUAUGAGACUAGUCUUUUGUUUAAAGCCUUUGUCUUCAAGUACAAUAGGGCCCUAUCUACGUGAAGAUCAACAAAUGCUCAUUUAAAUAUUCUUUUCUAUCAAUUCAAAUGAUGCAAAUGCUCUACCGCUCUUUUAUUCUUAUUUGGAAUUUUUUUUUAACAUUUUAUUGGAAAAGUUUAAAAAGUUAAAUAGUUCGUCCUACACCUUUCUCUCCCAAAUAAAUAAGAAGCCGUCAUCGUCGUUCAUCUACUGCUCCGGCGGUUGGAAACUCACCACUGUCGGGAACAGCUCUGCUCUGUCUCUGUUCACAGUAACGAUUUCUUCACUUUGAUUUUCGACAUCUUUAUUUGGUUAUCGGGUAGUAGCUCGUACCACACUGGCUUAUGAUUUUGGAAAGGUAUCAUACCUUUGUCGAAUUUGUGUAAGGAUGUCUUCGAUUCAAGUUUUGAUUUAAUAGAUGACAAAAAAAAAUUAUUUGGAAAGUGAUGUAGCGGAAGCUUCUAAGGAUAAAAUUAGAUCCGUGGAUUAUAAUAAUAUCCGGAAACUAGGGUUUAUGAAUAUUUUUCACAGUGUUUGAUGAA